GAUGAACGCUGGCGGCGUGCUUAACACAUGCAAGUCGAGCGAUGAAGUUUCCUUCGGGAAACGGAUUAGCGGCGGACGGGUGAGUAACACGUGGGUAACCUGCCUCAUAGAGUGGAAUAGCCUUCCGAAAGGAAGAUUAAUACCGCAUAACGUUGAACGAUGGCAUCAUCAUUCAACCAAAGGAGUAAUCCGCUAUGAGAUGGACCCGCGGCGCAUUAGCUAGGUGGUGGGGUAACGGCCUACCAAGGCGACGAUGCGUAGCCGAACUGAGAGGGUGAUCGGCCACAUUGGGACUGAGACACGGCCCAGACUCCUACGGGAGGCAGCAGUGGGGAAUAUUGCACAAUGGGGGGAACCCUGAUGCAGCAACGCCGCGUGAGUGAUGAAGGUUUUCGGAUCGUAAAGCUCUGUCUUUGGGGAAGAUAAUGACGGUACCCAAGGAGGAAGCCACGGCUAACUACGUGCCAGCAGCCGCAGUAAUAC
rnacentral:rRNA from 1 species